AACGCACGAGACCUGCGGACCUGCGGAAGGAUCAUUACUGAGUGAGGGCCCUCUGGGUCCAACCUCCCACCCGUGUUUAACGAACCUUGUUGCUUCGGCGGGCCCGCCUCACGGCCGCCGGGGGGCAUCCGCCCCCGGGCCCGCGCCCGCCGAAGCCACCUGUGAACGCUGUCUGAAGUUGCAGUCUGAGAAAAUUAUUAAAUUAAUUAAAACUUUCAACAAUGGAUCUCUAGAUCGGAA
rnacentral:misc_RNA from 1 species